rnacentral:rRNA from 1 species
UACGUAGGGUGCGAGCGUUGUCCGGAAUUACUGGGCGUAAAGAGCUCGUAGGUGGUUUGUCGCGUUGUUCGUGAAAUUCCCUGGCUUAACUGGGGGCGUGCGGGCGAUACGGGCAGACUGGAGUACUGCAGGGGAGACUGGGAAUUCCUGGUGUAGCGGUGGAAUGCGCAGAUAUCAGGAGGAACACCUAUUGCGAAGGCAGCUCGCUGGGACGUAACUGACGCUGAGGUGCGAAAGCGUGGGGAGCGAACAGG